rnacentral:misc_RNA from 1 species
GAAAUGCGAUACGUAGUGUGAAUUGCAGAAUUCAGUGAAUCAUCGAAUCUUUGAACGCACAUUGCGCCCUUUGGUAUUCCAAAGGGCAUGCCUGUUCGAGCGUCAUUUGUACCCUCAAGCUUUGCUUGGUGUUGGGCGUUUUUUGUCUUUGGCUCGCCCAAAGACUCGCCUUAAAACGAUUGGCAGCCGGCCUACUGGUUUCGCAGCGCAGCACAUUUUUGCGCUUCUCGAGGCGCGGCGGACCGCGUCCAGCAAGCAACCGUCACACCGUCUUUGACCUCGGAUCAGGUAGGGAUACCCGCUGAACUUAAGC